UGAGUAUCGCAUAUGUGCUGUGAAUCGCAUAGAAAGGCACUCAAUCAAUGUACGAAUUGCAGUUGAAACAGUGUUGAAAAGCGUCAAAAUCUAGGCAGAUCUAGGCACUGGGCAUACGGAACAGGAAGCUGGCGAACUGCUGGGCGCCGCAACUGGGUCGAGGCUCAGCUAUUUAGUCUUUGCGCUCGCUAAACCUUUACUCGCAUGCACUGGCUUCUCUUGCUUUCGCAGCUGGCGCUCUAGUUCCGAUAUACACAACUGCCAUGGACGAACUGUCAA